UACGUAGGGGGCGAGCGUUGUCCGAAGUUACUGGGCGUAAAGCGCGCGUAGGCGGUCUUUUAAGUCUGGUGUGAAAGGUUCAGGGCUCAACCCGAACAGUGCACUGGAUACUGGGAGACUUGAGUGCGGGAGAGGAGAGUGGAAUUCCUGGUGUAGCGGUGAAAUGCGUAGAUAUCGGGAGGAACACCAGUGGCGAAGGCGGCGAUCUGGGAAGAUACUGACGCUGAUGCACGAAAGCUAGGGGAGCAAACGGG
rnacentral:rRNA from 1 species